GACAGAGGUGCCAAGCGUUAGGCGGAAUCACUGGGCUUAAAGCGUGUGUAGGCGGAUGUCUAAGUACCUUGUGAAAUCCCACGGCUCAACCGUGGAACUGCUUGGUAUACUGGAUGUCUUGAGCCAUCUAGGGGCUACCGGAACAAAUGGUGGAGCGGUGAAAUGCGUAGAUAUCAUUUGGAACGCCAAUGGUGAAAACAGGUAGCUGGGGAUGUGCUGACGCUGAGACACGAAAGCCAGGGGAGCGAACGGG
rnacentral:rRNA from 1 species